rnacentral:lncRNA from 1 species
UUUUCAAAUACACACAGGCAAAAUUUUAUUUUCCUUUAGCAUCAUUAAAAAAAAAAAAAAAAAUACAUUCUUAAAAAAAAAAAUAAAGUUCACAAGUUGCCUUCUUCAGUAACUCCAGAAAAAAUACAGUGUUUUCUAUCCUUAAAGACAGAUCACAUUUGCAAAGUCUGACAGUCUGCCUUAUACAACUUCAGUCUAUUAUUAAAGACAAGUAUUUCUAAAUGUACUCCAACUUGUAAAUAAAUUACAGGAGACAAACAUUGAAAUUAUUAUUCCACAGAAAUAAAACCAAACACUAAUUCAGUGAACUUCUGUAAAAAUUUUUUGCAAGAUCCACAGUCUCUGCAAAAACUACACCACAGUCAGUUAAGUUUGAAAAAGUCUGUGUUGUAAUUUUAUAUUGUAUUCACUUUUGUUGACAUGCACACCUGCCAUUUCGAUGCUACCGACUGGUUCAGAGCUAACAUUAUAUAGAAUAAGAAUAGCAUUAACUUGAGAAUGAACCAAAAAUCUAAAAGCUGGCUGCCCUCUGCUUCAGGCAAUCUGAACAGGAGAAGGUGAAAAAACUUUUUCACAAGGAGAGUAUGAAAAACUUUCAGAACACUGGCAGCUUACAGAAGAAAAGAUCCCCUUUUUCUUUCCCCUCCCUUCCACACUUGGUUUUGGUUUGCAUAGAAAAGGGAAUGUUCUGUCUAGUUUUGGUAGGCUCUUAUUUUUUGGUUUAGCUAUUACACAUGUAACAAAAAACAAAAAACAACGAUGACAAAAAAACCCCACAACAAACAAAACAACAACAACAACGACAACAAAAAAAAAAGGAAAAGAAAAAGAAAAUGAAAAUACAAGCAACCAGACAAACAACAUUAAAAAUCUCUAAUCACUACAGUUUGUGUGCUUUAUUUCACAUGAUAAAUAUCUCACUUUUGGGUACCACAGUUACAUCUUUUUGUUCAGGACAGGCAAAAUGAUUUUCCAUUUCCCUUCACAUGUAACAUACCUAUUUAACUGCAUUCCAAAACCCUAAUUUUCUGUAGUCUUUUACCCUGCCUCCAUGUUUUCAAGCAUUCUUGCUAGACAUCAUAGCCUCCCCAAUACACCUCCAGACAGCUUACUAUCCAGUACCCAAUAGUGAUUAGCCCAUCCACUCAGACAAUUUUUUGUCAGCUUUUGCAACUGACAUAACGCUGUUUCUUCAAGAAGGCAGAAGCAUGCUUAGUUUUCUCCCAAGCAAAAAAAAAAAAAAAAAGAAUCCAAAUCGAAACAAGUUUUCUGUGAGUAGAUGUACAACCAUGAAACAACUGAUCAGGUCUCCAUUUCAGUCUCCAUGGUAUCAGUCCUUGAAGGAGGUUUAGUUUCUGAUGGAGUCUCUCCAUCUAGGUUCUGAAUAUCAGACAAAUCAAUAGCAGGCAAUGGUGUUCUCCAAUACAGGAAUGAGUUAUACUGACAGAAUUCUUCUUCUGCGAUGGCGGCACGCUCUUUGCCCUGGCUACCUGCGCGUCCCUCCGCCGUCCGCUCGUCCUGGGGCGCCGCGGCCGCGCCGCGCCGCCACCGCCUGCCCCCGGCGUCUCCCUGCUCGCCGCGGGGGCUGCUCCCCCGCAGCCCGGGCCGCUUGCCCGGCGGCGCGUCAGCCUCCUCCAGCUUCCGCUUCGGGGCGGCAGGGCCGGCGCCCGCCCCUUCGGCCCUGGGGCGCCGCUCGGGCGCGGCAGCGCGGGGCAGCGGCGGCUCGCGCAGGAGCCGUUUGACGGGCACGUGACACACCAAGGGCUCCGCGCGCCGCUUGGCCAUCGGGCCGCUGGCUCCGGGAGGUGCGCGACCCCCGCCGGUGCACGCACGGCCGCCGCGCCGGGCAGCGC